rnacentral:ncRNA from 1 species
CUUCUCAGGGCGGGGUGAAAGUCCCUACCGGCGGUAAAUCGGUACGCAGUGGCGUCACCGAAAGCCCGCGAGCGCUUGCAUUACGAUGCAAGGUCAGCAGAUCCGGUGUAAUUCCGGGGCCGACGGUUAUAGUCCGGAUGGGAGAGAGU